GGCUCGGUAGCUUAGUUGGUAAAGCACUUGUCUAGCGAAUAAGGGUCGUGAGUUCAAAUCUUAACUGAGCUG
rnacentral:tRNA from 1 species